CGCAGCUAAUAGGGCAUCAAUGAAUUUAGCCUAUGUCGAAUAGAAUCACAUCCUUAGCAUUGAAGAAUUUUUUUUACAACAAAAAUCAGGUGUGAAGUGGGCAUUUGAAGGUGAAAGAAAUAUAAAAUUUUAUCACAUGGUGAUGCGGAAGAAAGAAUUCGAAAUCAUAUCUUUAAAACCCGAGAUAAUGAUGGAAACAUGACUGAAGAACCAUCACUUAUUCAAUCUUCAGCUGUGGAUUUCUUUUCUAAUCUUUUGAAACAUUAAGCAUGCCAUAUCUCAGUAUUUAAUGAUUCACUAAUCCUUUCAAUUGUGUCCAGGGAAGAUACUGAUGUCCUUUGUGCAAUUCCAUCAUUACAUGAGGUUCAAGAAGCGAUAUUUGAUAUUGCUAAAAAUAGUGUGGUAGGGCCAGAUGGAUUGUCUUCAUUUUUUUAUCAACACUGUUGGAGUAUAAUUUCAAAAGACUUAUUGGAGGUGGUGACUGAUUUUUUCCAAGGUGCCACUUUGCCAAAGGGAAUGACGUCAACUACACCGGUUCUGCUUCCCAAAAAUUCGAAUCCCUUGAAUUGGAGUGAUAUUCGACCUAGUAGUUUGUGCACUGUAUUCAAUAAGAUUAGCACCAAAAUUCUUGCUAACCGUUUAUCAAAGCUCUUACUUGCUCUUAUUUCAGAUAAUCAAAAUGGCUUUGUUAGCCAAAAGGCUCAUUGGUGAAAAUAUCCUACUUGCUCGAGAACUAAUACAUUGAAUUGAUCAUAAGGUCUGUGGUGAAAAUGUAGUCUUACAGCUUGAUAUGAUGAAAGCUUACGAUCGACUGAAUUGGGAAUUCUUGUACACAAUGAUGAGACAAUUCAUCUUUAAUGAGCAGUGUAUCGAUAUGAUCAGGCGCUGCAUUUCAAAUUGUUAGUUUUCCCUUUUGUUUAAUGGAUCCACGAUAGGAUACUUGAAAUCCGAAGAGGGGCUGUGGUAAAAUGAUUCUACGUCCUAUACUCUAUUUAUUAUGGCUGCCGAAUAUCUCUCUAGGGGAUUAAAUGCACUUUAUGACCGAUAUCCUUCACUACAUUACUCUUCGGGAUGUUCCAUGGUGGUUAGUCACUUGUCAUUUACAGAUGAUACUAUUAUUUUUACUAACAAUAAUAGGUCUGCUUUGAGAAGGAUUUUGAAUUUUUUGAAAGAAUAUGAAAUGGUAUGCAAACAAAAACUAAAUCAACACAAAAGUUGCUUCAUCAUUGGUAAUAAAGUUGCUAACUCAAGAAUUCAGAUCAUUCAGUUAACCACAGAUGUCACAACCCGAAACUCUCCAUCGGGCCCGUGACAACCACCGCGAAGUAUUGACAGACAUUCUUCACCCCGAAUGCCAAUCGAAACCUCAUAAAGCUCUUGUAUCAGCUUUCGCACUUCCCCGGUGAGCAAUAGUUAUCAAAUAUCGUAAUUCGAAGGAUUACGAGUCAUUUUCAAAUUAGAACAUAACAUAUUGUUUUAUGACUUACAGGGGCAUUUUUGUCAUUUUUCGUCGAAAAUCUCAAAACUUGCUAAAAAUGUAGUAGGUAAGCAGAAAAUUUAUAUUUAGUGAUUUUAAAAAAAAUUAAGUAUCUAAAAUGUUCAUUUGAAUUGAAAAUUUGACCAUUUGAAUAUAAUAAAAAUAUUCAAUAAAAUAAACUAUUUUCUUGUAAAAUAAUUUUUAUAAAGCUAUCGGUAAAUAAUUCUUAUAGCGUAAAAAUUAAUUAUAUUUAUAUAUACUAUAAAGCAAAUAACCAAAGUAUAUAAUUACUUUUACAGUGAAACGUAGGCCCACAUCUAAUCAAAAUGCAUCAAAAGCUGAAAACCGACAACUUUUGUCGAUUCAAGUCCAAAUAAAGAUCCUUGUCAAAGUUUGCUAACUAUGAAAUUCCUCGAGCCUGAAAUGUGAGGAAAUGAGGGUGGUGAGAUUAUAAAAUCCCAGUGAGUAAACAAAUAUCAUUUAAAAUAUCUAAAGGUGAAUAAAAGAAGACUAUUAAAAUAUUUCAUCAAACUGUAAUUUAUCAUCUUUCAACUUAUUUCAACCAAAUGAAAUCAAUUUAUUUAAAUCAAGUAAUCAGUAUGGCUUGUCAAUUUCUUAAAAAGCUUGGCUCAUGCAAAAAAUUAUUAUCAUACUCAGUUAUCUAGAAUACCUUGGUCGAGGGCUAUCCCAACUGAGUCCGUCAAGGCUAUUCGAAAGUCAUGUUUUUAUUUUGAAAACAUAACCGUUCCUUGGCGUUGGCCGAGUUCCCCCUCACAUGGUGGUUUGACGUGGAGUGAACUCUAAAAGUUAUACCUCGAGAGUUACCUUACUCGCCUCUCCAACCGAGGUAAAAUAUAAUAGGAUUCUGUACCCCUCUAAUAGGCUAGUCCACAAAACCUAACCCACUGCAACAGGUCAAAACCACCAUACAAUAAAAUUUUGACAGCAUGACAAGGCUAAUAUAUUACUACCCAGCCUGUAGGGAUAAAAUAAAGCAAUUCAUACAAUUCAUAAAACACAGCCCAGCUAGUCAUGCCAAUACAAUAACAUAAGCCAUCAAUUAAAUUUUAAAUUUACAACAUAUCAGUGGUCUCCAAUUACUCUAUUUUCAAAAUCGUUAUUUCGUUUCAAGACAAUUUAUAAAAUAUUUUCAUUUAAACUCAUUUUUGUUUAUAAAACCUAAAAUUAACCAUUUAAAAUCAUUUUCAUACAAUUUCACCAAAACCGAAUUAAAACAUACUUUAGAUAAUUAAAAUGAUGAUAAGGUUACUCACAGUACUAGGAGUUCGAUAUACUCCUAUUUUCGAUCUUCGAGCACAAUCUCUUUACCUUUGUUAGAGGGCUCACCACCUUGACACAGUACAAAAUCGAGAAACUUACUACAUUGGUACUAAAUUGAAAUUAAAUUAAUUUAAACUACUAAUGCAUGAUAUGGAAUGCAAAAUGUCCGAUUAAUCGCUUAAAUGUGAUCUUCGACCUAAAUCACACUAUACUCGGUCUAAUCGGCUAAAAUCUCCAAUUUAACUCUAAAUCAAUUCUUAUCACUAUCUACACUCCAAUUAUACCUAAAUUACCUCAGUGAUUGUGAAUGAGAUUCAAUUUAUCAGUCCCGGAUCAAUAAUCACACUUAUCUAUACAUUGAGCAAAAAUUCAGAUUUUCACACCAAAAUUUCCCAUUUAAUUUCUAGUCUCACCAAACAUCAAAUAUCACCAAAAUAUCAUGAAAUAUCAUCAAUUUCAGCCACAAUAUCCUCCCUAGGAAAUUCGACCAUUGAUUGUUGAUGGGGAAAAUGAAUUCUUUUCUUAUUGUUUUGUUUCUAAAUAUGCAAAACUAACUAAAAACACUAACAUAACUUAAAAUCAAAUCAAUCUAACAUCUUUUUCUCUCCAUACCCAUUUUGACCAGCCAUGAAUUCACCAUGAAAACAUGAAAUCUAACCAUGAAAAAUAAGGAGAAAUGCAUGGGAAAGGUAUAUCACAAGUCAAAAUCAAGAAAUUUUACCUUUGAUUGAUUGAUUACUUAAAAUCCAUCAAUUUUCCCUUGAAUUUUCCCACCUAGGAUUCUUGUUCUUCUUUUCCUCUCUUUGUUCUUGCUAUGGCCGGC
rnacentral:lncRNA from 1 species